rnacentral:rRNA from 1 species
UACGAAGGGGGCGAGCGUUGUUCGGAAUUACUGGGCGUAAAGGGCGCGUAGGCGGCGACCCAAGUCAGAUGUGAAAGUCCUGGGCUUAACCUGGGGACUGCAUUUGAUACUGGGUUGCUUGAAUUCGGGAGAGGAUAGCGGAAUUCCCAGUGUAGAGGUGAAAUGCGUAGAGAUCCGGAGGAAUACCAGUGGCGAAGGCGGCACGCUGGGCCAUAACUGACGCUAAGACCCGAAAGCAUGGGUAGCGAACGGG